UACGGAGGGGGCAAGCGUUGUUCGGAAUUAUUGGGCGUAAAGCGUAUGUAGGCGGCCGAUUAAGUCAGGCGUGCAAGCCCGUGGCUCAACCACGGAAUUGCGUUUGAAACUGGUUGGCUUGAGUACAGGAGAGGAAAGCGGAAUUCCCAGUGUAGCGGUGAAAUGCAUUGAUAUUGGGAAGAACAUCUGUGGCGAAGGCGGCUUUCUGGUCUGUUACUGACGCUGAGAUACGAAAGCCAGGGGAGCGAACGGG
rnacentral:rRNA from 1 species